rnacentral:rRNA from 1 species
GCAGUCGAGCGGUAACAGAAAGUAGCUUGCUACUUUGCUGACGAGCGGCGGACGGGUGAGUAAUGCUUGGGAACAUGCCUUGAGGUGGGGGACAACAGUUGGAAACGACUGCUAAUACCGCAUAAUGUCUACGGACCAAAGGGGGCUUCGGCUCUCGCCUUUAGAUUGGCCCAAGUGGGAUUAGCUAGUUGGUGAGGUAAUGGCUCACCAAGGCGACGAUCCCUAGCUGGUUUGAGAGGAUGAUCAGCCACACUGGGACUGAGACACGGCCCAGACUCCUACGGGAGGCAGCAGUGGGGAAUAUUGCACAAUGGGCGCAAGCCUGAUGCAGCCAUGCCGCGUGUGUGAAGAAGGCCUUCGGGUUGUAAAGCACUUUCAGUCAGGAGGAAAGGUUAGUAGUUAAUACCUGCUAGCUGUGACGUUACUGACAGAAGAAGCACCGGCUAACUCCGUGCCAGCAGCCGCGGUAAUACGGAGGGUGCGAGCGUUAAUCGGAAUUACUGGGCGUAAAGCGUACGCAGGCGGUUUGUUAAGCGAGAUGUGAAAGCCCCGGGCUCAACCUGGGAACUGCAUUUCGAACUGGCAAACUAGAGUGUGAUAGAGGGUGGUAGAAUUUCAGGUGUAGCGGUGAAAUGCGUAGAGAUCUGAAGGAAUACCGAUGGCGAAGGCAGCCACCUGGGUCAACACUGACGCUCAUGUACGAAAGCGUGGGGAGCAAACGGGAUUAGAUACCCCGGU